GUUCAAUCUAUCUAAAUCAGAUAUCUUAAUCAGAAUAAAGAGAAAUGUGGCACAUGGUAUACCAAUACGCUAUCAUUCAAAAUCAAAUUCCUUGCAUAUAUACAUGAUUGUGCAAACAUGAUACUAUCUCGACCGCUCGAUUGGAAUAAAUUUAAGCGGCACUGACUGAGAGAUGCAUCAAAUGGUGGUACUCCCGAAAAAUCGAUAGUAUGACACGAGAGACAACAUCAUUUGUUUGCCUAGAACUGUUGCCUCACAACCACAAUGUUAAAUACACACGAGAUGAAAGCAUGCCCCACCAUAAAAAUAGUAGAGAACUCAAACAGGGCUGGUUAGUCAAAGACAUGCUCUUUUGGAACAACAAACCAAAAAAGCUGAAUCCGAACUCUCUCAAAUGCAAAUCGAUUAGGGUCCAUACCUCAAUUAAUAAUCAUGCAAAUCGCACUAGGAUUCUCUCAGAUUGACCAAUAACAGAAGCAAAUCGAUACUGGAAGUCACUUGGGCAAAACAUCAAACACCUGAUGAACAAGAAAUUCGAAGUGCUCGGGACAGAAUAUUCAACAAGUCGUCGAUGAGGAGAAGAAAAUGAGGUGUUCAUUUAAAACAUUAUCGUAGACGAAUCGAUGAAAGCAGGCAAUAGAAGAGGGAUACGUUGCCAGAGCCAUCCCUGGUCGAGAUUGAUGAUCGCCUGAAGGAGAGAGAUCAUAAUGGACGGUAACGCCGGGACCUAGAACUGUCAAAGGGAGGAAUAGACCUAGAUUGUGUACUUCGGCAGCGAUGAAUCUGAAAUAGGGGCGAACAUAGGCUCUUCACAGCCACAGAACUGGUGGCGAUCGGGCGGCUCUCAAUAGUUGUAAUUGACGCGACUGAGAGGAAAUAAAGAUGGAGAAUCCUCCGGAAACCGAUUCUCUGAGAGAGAAUUCUCUCCCUGAGCUCCCCCUGUGCCCCCCGCUCUGCUCUUUGCGGACGAGCUCUCUGCGAUGACUGCGUUUGUCGACAGGCCGGCGGUGGACGAUCGGCGAUGACUAGCGGUGGCCUCGGGGCGAUGGAGAGGGGAUCGCCAUGAGAAGCUGCGUGACCCCGAGAUAGUCGGACUGGUUUAAUGGGCCUGUGGGUUUAAUGUGUUUGAUCUCUGGGCCGAG
rnacentral:lncRNA from 1 species